rnacentral:rRNA from 1 species
AGUUUGAUCCGUGGCUCAGGACGACGCUGGGCGGCGUGCCUAACACAUGCAAGUCGAGCGGAGAUGAUGUGAGGAAGUUUUCGGAUGGAAUCACAUUAUUUAGCGGCGGACGGGUGAGUAACGCGUGAGCGACCAACCUUGCACAGGGGGAUAACGGACCGAAAGGUUCACUAAUACCGCAUGAGACCACGGUGUUGCAUGACACAGGGGUCAAAGGAGCAAUCCGGUGCAAGACGGGCUCGCGUCCGAUUAGGUAGUUGGUGGGGUAAUGGCCCACCAAGCCUAUGAUCGGUAGCCGACCUGAGAGGGUGAUCGGCCACAUUGGAACUGAGAUACGGUCCAAACUCCUACGGGAGGCAGCAGUGGGGAAUAUUGGGCAAAUGGGGGAAACCCUGACCCAGCAACGCCGCGUGAAGGAAGAAGGUUUUCGGAUUGUAAACUUCUGUCCUUGGUGAAGAGAAGAAGACGGUAGCCAAGGAGGAAGCCCCGGCUAACUACGUGCCAGCCGCCGC